AAGUCGAACGCGAAAGGGACUUCGGUCCGUGAGUAAAGUGGCGCACGGGUGAGUAACGCGUAGAUAACCUGUCUUCAUGUCUGGAAUAAUACGCCGAAAGGGGUACUAAUACCGGAUAUUCUUGCUUUUCAUAAGUUAUGCAAGCAAAGGUGGCCUCUGCAUAUGCUACUGCAUGAAGAGGGGUCUGCGUACCAUUAGCUAGUAGGUGGGGUAAUGGCCUACCUAGGCGACGAUGGUUAGCGGGUCCGAGAGGAUGAUCCGCCACACUGGCACUGGAACACGGGCCAGACUCCUACGGAGGCAGCAGUGAGGAAUAUUGCGCAAUGGGGGAAACCCUGACGCAGCGACGCCGCGUGAGUGAAGGAAGGCCUUCGGGUCGUAAAGCUCUGUCAAGAGGAAAGAAGUGUACAAUGGCUAAUACCUGUUGUAUUUGACGGUACCUCUAAAGGAAGCACCGGCUAACUCCGUGCCAGCAGCCGC
rnacentral:rRNA from 1 species